rnacentral:tRNA from 1 species
GCGGGUGUGGCGGAAUUGGCAGACGCGCCAGAUUUAGGAUCUGGUGCCGCAAGGCGUGGGGGUUCGAGUCCCUCCACCCGCA